UGGGGAAUUUUGGACAAUGGGCGAAAGCCUGAUCCAGCAAUGCCGCGUGUGUGAAGAAGGCCUUCGGGUUGUAAAGCACUUUUGUCCGGAAAGAAAUCCUUGGCUCUAAUACAGUCGGGGGAUGACGGUACCGGAAGAAUAAGCACCGGCUAACUACGUGCCAACAGCCGCGGUAAUACGUAGGGUGCAAGCGUUAAUCGGAAUUACUGGGCGUAAAGCGUGCGCAGGCGGUUUGCUAAGACCGAUGUGAAAUCCCCGGGCUCAACCUGGGAACUGCAUUGGUGACUGGCAGGCUAGAGUAUGGCAGAGGGGGGUAGAAUUCCACGUGUAGCAGUGAAAUGCGUAGAGAUGUGGAGGAAUACCGAUGGCGAAGGCAGCCCCCUGGGCCAAUACUGACGCUCAUGCACGAAAGCGUGGGGAGCAAACAGGAUUAGAUACCCUGGUAGUCCACGCCCUAAACGAUGUCAACUAGUUGUUGGGGAUUCAUUUCCUUAGUAACGUAGCUAACGCGUGAAGUUGACCGCCUGGGGAGUACGGUCGCAAGAUUAAAACUCAAAGGAAUUGACGGGGUCAUAGCUG
rnacentral:rRNA from 1 species